rnacentral:sRNA from 1 species
GGCAUUGAUGGUCCUCGUUCCUGUAACUGGUCCUGUGGACACAGCCACUUUCUUCCACUGCCCAUUCUGUGGUCUUGUGGCCUUCAGCAGGCACCUCACUGGUUGUGGUUCUUUCUGGUGAGGUAAAGUAAAAAAGAAGUUGGUAGCACAUUUGAUUAACAAGUGUCUUAAGAUUUAUUUCUAAGGUAGAAAAGUAUGAUCAGUUGUUUAUAAAUCCAAAAGUAAUAAUACAUGCUGGGUUUAAGAAUUUGAAAAUGGGAAUGAGGUGAGAGGAGGAGGAGGUCUUGCCCCUCCACCCCAGUUGGAGCCCCACAGGAACGUUGUAGCACGUGCCGUAUAGUUGUGAUGCCCACGGUCGGAGCCCCACGGGAGCAUUGUAGCAUGCGCUGUAUAGUUGUGCGUUGUAGCGUGCGCUGUGUAGUUGUGAUGCCCACAGGCUUCCUUGCAUUUCUCUCCAGCUCUGCUAGCCACGAACACUUCAAGUCUGCACUUCACAUGCUUGCUUGCCUGUGCAUGUUACGCACGCUCAGCAACUUAGUUCCACGUUUGGGAUGAGUUGAGUUCCCUGACGUAGAAUUGCUGGGUUGAGGGUUUUUUAUAAUAAAAAUAUUGGUUUUAUUUUGGGGGCUGAAGGUUUUAAAAGCUUAAUACAUACUUCUAGAUUGCUUUUCAAAACGACAGAAACCAGCACGUGAUAAGUAGCUCUUACUUGAAAUAAGGACUUGUCUGAUCUCAAGUGGCAACUUUUAACUGGUCUUUAAAUAUUAUAAAUAUUGAAAUUAUUUUAAUGUUUCUUAGCACUGUUUCUGUUAUAAAUGAGACUUCAUUUUUAGGGUAAUUUGUGAUUUUAAUGUUUGAAAUUAUACGAGUUAAAAUUCAGUGAAUACCUGAAUUGUGAAAAAUUAUAUUUAAGCUACAAAAUGUCAGUAGAGAAAUAAACAAGAUAAAGAUUUUUUUUCAUACAAGAAAAUGGAACGGAAAAGCAUUGGCCUUCUCAUAACAUAGUACUCAGCCAGCUUUUGAGGUAGCUUCUGUAGAUGAUGAUAUAAUUAUGAAUGUCAUUGUCUUAAUUUAGCUUAGAAUGCAAACCAGUUAAAAUCACUUGGUUAGUACUGUUACCACUGAGACACGGGUUCAAGAUGCAUGUAAAAGGUCAGUGCCUUGUGGACAACUUCUAAGGGUUUAGUUGCCAUGAAUUUAAAGAAAUUGUAACUAAACCAAUGUUUUAGCAUUGGUAAAUGGGAAAUUGCGGAAGGAUGUAAACGUAGAGUUUACAACUUGGCUUAGGGACUCAGAUAUGGACAGUGAGACUGGCCACAUGAGUGCCUUUCUCACUGUCACACUCUUACCCAGGUUGGAGUGCAGUGGCUGUCGACAGGUGUGAUCAUAGCUCCCUGCAGCCUUGAAUUCCUGGGCUCAAGCAGUCCUGCCUCAGCCUCCCAAGGAGGUGGGACUAAAGAUGGUGUGCCACCACACCUGGCUAAUUUUUAAAUUUAUUGUAGAGAAGGGGUCUUGCUAUGUUGCCCAGGUUGGUCUUGAACCCCUGACCUCCAGGGAUCUCUCCUGCCUUGGCCUCCUCAGGAGCUGGAACUACAGAUAUAUGCUAAUGUCCUCAAUUUAUGGAAAUGCAGAAAUGCCUUUUUUUUUUUUUUUUUUUUUUUGAGAUGGACUCAUGUUCUGCUGCCCAGGCUGGAGUGCUGUGGUGCGAUCUUAGCUCACUGUAUCCUCCACCUCCGGGGUUCAAGCAAUUUUCGUGCCUCAGCCUCCUGGGUAGCUGAGACUACAGAUGCCCACCACCACUCCUGGCUGACUUUUUUGUAUUUUUAGUAGAGACAGGGUUUUACCAUGUUGGCCAGGCUGGUCUCAAACUCCUGACCUCAAGUGAUCUGCCCGCCUCGGCCUCCCAAAGUACUGGGAUUAUAGCUGUGAGCCACUGCACCCUCCCGGAAAUGCUUUUUAACGGUCACCUCCUAGGGGAGAUGAAGAGAGUUACCACAUAAUCAGUUUCAACUGUAUUUGUAAUGUUUGUUUCUUUACCUGGGAGGAUAUGUUGUAGAUAUGUCAGAUAGAAUACCUAACUGACACAAUGGUGUGCAGGCUAUGGCUGCAAAGUAGAAAGUUUCUAAAUAGCAUGCUUGGAUUUUUAUUUGAAUUGGAUGAAGUUUUUAUGUCCUAGAGAAAUUCACAAAAUGUUAUAAAAGGUUAUGAUUUAACAUCUUUGCUUUUGUUCUUUCUUGUCUUUGAAUAGAACAGUGGGGGACGGUAAGGUCUGUUUGCAAAGUACCUAUGACCAUCUUACAUUAUUUUUAUGGGUGGGGGGCAUUGACUGUGAAAUGUGGGCAGUAACUUGCACAGUCAGUAACCGUUUGAGUAACUUCUUGUUGGCAUCCCCAUUCUGGCACUCCUCCUCUAUGUCUCCACCUCACACGCUGGUUUGUGGGCGGAGGGGCAGGUUGGUGCGUGGGGUGUCCGGGCACUGGCUAUGCAUGCCUUCUUCCUCUUCUGUCUCUUGGCCACCUUUUCCAAAAAGUCAGCAGUGACCAAUUCUCCCAGUGUUUCUUUGGGACUCAAUGCCUUGGGCUUGGCAUUGGGUAAAGCCGACUGGCCAGUUUCAUUCUGACGAGCUCUAUAGUAGUCCCGUGUGGACCUCUGCCCUCCCUGCUCUGCGGAAGCUUCCUCAGCCUUUGCUUCUCACUAUUUACUAUUUGCGGGUCCUGGGGGUACCCAGCGUCUCAGGGUUUUGGCUGCCCACCUGUACGUCGGUCCUUUCAAACUGUGGUCAGAGUCAACCUCAGGUGCUGCUUUUCUCUAGUCACUGAAUUUUUUUUUUAGUAGAGACAAAAGUCUUGCUGUGUUGUCCAGCCUGGAUUCAAACUCCUGAGCUCAAGGAAUCCUCUCACUCAGCCUCCAGAGUAGCUGGAUCAAGUCACUCUUGUUCAUAACCUCAGUUGCUUCAUGAAUCUCGAUUUCUGCUUGAUUUCAGUGCUUGCUGUUGUAUCCUUGUGUGCUGCAGUAUUUAUUGUUAACAUUUGUGACUCAAAUGUAUCCACUCCCUGCUUUGGUUGCUCUGGCCUGCAAGUAGGCCGUACUAAUUCUGUAGUUGGUCCUGGCUUGCCUUUGUCUUUACCUUGCAUGCGUUUAUGUCUUAAUGCACCUAUUAGGAUUCCUUGCUUUUAUCACAGGUUUCCCAUUUUUCUGAAAAAAUUACAGUAAUUAUUAACGCAGAACCCGGGUAAAUUAAAAAGGUUUGUAUGCUUUAUGAAUUUUUAGUAAGUACUCAUUGAUUGAUAACAGCAACAGAGGAAAACAAAACGGUCAGUUCCGAUCUUGAUUUCCAGGAGCACUUUGUGUUUCCACUUGGCAGCGUGAUGCUUCCUCAUGUCGGUGAUUUUCUGUUGAGACAUCUUCAAGCAUCAUCUUACGUCUGCUUGUUAACAUUUGUUCAGAUUUGAUUUCAGCUAAUCCUUAAAAGUUUUUUGAGACAUCAAACUUAGAAUAAAAGGAAUUUCCUUUGCCGAGAUUCAUCAGGUAUUUACACUUAGCUUACAUGGCCACACCAUUCCUCGUGUGUGUGUGUGCGCGCGCGCGCAUGUUAGGGUAAUCCAUUUUUCUGUUUGUUUCUGAAUUGCUUUGGAGAAGGCAACUCAGACUCCAAGGAAUACAACAGCUGCCGUGUGAAGCUUUUCUCACUUUUCCAGUGGUCGUAGCAGGAACAGCGUCUUGACCUCAAAUCAGUGACGUGAAAAGAGCUGAGUUUGAAGUGCAUAUUGGUCCUCCAUAAAGAAUGUGUGUAUGUGCUGUUUUUUAAAUUAAGUCUGGUAAUUUAUUUGAUAUAAUGUAUUGUAGUUUUAGUUGAAUUAAACUAGUUAGUAAAACUGUUGGUGAGGUAGUGUUUCAGUUACUCUGUAGAUAAGCUCUUUUGUUAAAACCUCUUAAGUUUUUUGUUCCUGAAUAUGUUACAAACAUCUAUUUUCUCUUACUGUAGCUAUCACAUGAGGAAAAAAACUUGAAAAAAAGACUUCACAGUGUGUGUUUAUGUUUGAUUUUAGAAGACCCUUUUGAGGACUUCUUUGGGAAUCGAAGGGGUCCCCGAGGAAGCAGAAGCCGAGGGACGGGGUCAUUUUUCUCCGCGUUCAGUGGAUUUCCGUCUUUUGGAAGUGGAUUUUCUUCUUUUGAUACAGGAUUUACUUCAUUUGGGUCACUAGGUCAUGGGGGCCUCACUUCAUUCUCUUCCACGUCAUUUGGUGGUAGUGGCAUGGGCAACUUCAAAUCGAUAUCAACUUCAACUAAAAUGGUUAAUGGCAGAAAAAUCACUACAAAGAGAAUUGUCGAGAACGGUCAAGAAAGAGUAGAAGUUGAAGAAGAUGGCCAGUUAAAGUCCUUAACAAUAAAUGGUAAGGAGCAGCUGCUGCGCUUGGAUAACAAGUAAUUCAACGCACGCACUUAACAGAAAUGUUAAACUAUAACAAGCACCAUUUGAGGAUUAACAGGAACAUUUUUUUGAAGAUUUCAAACGAACUCGACUUUCAGUAUAAUUGUACCUAAAGUAUUUAUAAACAGCUCAUCGGAGCCUCUAUUUGUCAUAGACUUUUGAGUUGAUUGUUGGGACCACAUAAUAGGACCAUUUUUUUUUUUUGUCUUUAAAAUUGUUGUAAAUCUCUGUAUGCACUUUGCUUUUUUAUUAAACGUACUCCAAGGUGAGUCUUGACUCUUUAGUGUAGGACAAGAUUGUACACUAACACCAGCAUGGACCUGCUUUUCAUUGUGUCUGAAAUGUGAGCCACGUAGUGUCGGCCUGCUGUGAAGUUAACAUUGCCAGGACGAUUCUUCUACAGAAAUAAUUUCAAUUUUUUUCAGUAUUUAGUAGUGAAAGAUAUUAAUACAUUAAUGGUAAUACAUUUCUGGUUUAAUAUAAAUUAAGGAUGUUUUCUAGUUGUGCAUGAAUGCUGGCAACUUAGUAAGUUUUGACAAUUGUUUAAAUAUGUAAUGUUAAGCUUAGGUUUAAAAAAGUAAAGCUGGUAAACUGGGUCUUUGUCAUUUGCUUUUAAAAAAAAAAAAAAAAAAAGAAAAUAAAUGCGAAUGUGUUGGUGCAUUCUUCCUGAGUGGGA